GUCUAGAAGCUUCGGCAAUGGGCGAAAGCCUGACCGAGCGACGCCGCGUGAGGGAUGAAGCACCUUGGUGUGUAAACCUCUUUCGACUGGGAAGAAGGCCCGGAUGGUGAAUCCGGGAUUGACGGUACCAGUAAAAGAAGCACCGGCUAACUCCGUGCCAGCAGCCGCGGUAAUACGGGGGGUGCAAGCGUUAUUCGGAUUUAUUGGGCGUAAAGGGCGCGUAGGCGGCCAGGCAAGUCUGGUGUGAAAUCGGUACCGCUCAACGGACCAACUGCACUGGAUACUGCCCGGCUUGAGUGCGGGAGAGGUGAGCGGAAUACCUGGUGUAGCGGUGGAAUGCGUAGAUAUCAGGUGGAAUACCCGUGGCGAAGGCGGCUCACUGGCCCGCAACUGACGCUGAGGCGCGAAAGCGUGGGGAGCAAACGGGAUUAGAAACCCGGGUAGUCC
rnacentral:rRNA from 1 species